rnacentral:rRNA from 1 species
GAUGAACGCUGGCGGCGUGCCUAAUACAUGCAAGUCGAGCGAACAGACGAGGAGCUUGCUCCUCUGACGUUAGCGGCGGACGGGUGAGUAACACGUGGAUAACCUACCUAUAAGACUGGGAUAACUUCGGGAAACCGGAGCUAAUACCGGAUAAUAUAUUGAACCGCAUGGUUCAAUAGUGAAAUACGGUUUUGCUGUCACUUAUAGAUGGAUCCGCGCCGCAUUAGCUAGUUGGUAAGGUAACGGCUUACCAAGGCAACGAUGCGUAGCCGACCUGAGAGGGUGAUCGGCCACACUGGAACUGAGACACGGUCCAGACUCCUACGGGAGGCAGCAGUAGGGAAUCUGCCGCAAUGGGCGAAAGCUUGACGGAGCAACGCCGCGUGAGUGAUGAAGGUCUUCGGAUCGUAAAACUCUGUUAUUAGGGAAGAACAAAUGUGUAAGUAACUAUGCACGUCUUGACGGUACCUAAUCAGAAAGCCACGGCUAACUACGUG